rnacentral:rRNA from 1 species
UACGGGGGGGGGCAAGCGUUGUUCGGAAUUACUGGGCGUAAAGGGCUCGUAGGCGGCCAACUAAGUCGGAUGUGAAAUCCCCCAGGCUCAACUUGGGAACUGCAUCCGAUACUGGAUGGCUUGAAUUCGGGAGAGGGAUGCAGAAUUCCAGGUGUAGCGGUGAAAUGCGUAGAUAUCUGGAGGAAUACCGGUGGCGAAGGCGGCAUCCUGGACCGACAUUGACGCUGAGGAGCGAAAGCUAGGGGAGCAAACGGG